rnacentral:misc_RNA from 1 species
GAUGAAGAACGCAGCGAAAUGCGAUAAAUAAUGUGAAUUGCAGAAUUCCGUGAAUCAUCGAGUUUUUGAACGCACAUUGCACUCCUUGGCAUUCCGAGGAGUACGCCUGUUCGAGCGUCAUUACACUCUCAAGCGCUGCUUGGAUUUGAAUCACUGCCGUGGCAGGAUUCCAAUAUCGUUGGCAAUUGACCAUCUGUGACGACUCACUCCGAGUUAAUUCGCCGGAACCCUUCUUUUUAAGUUGACCUCGGAUCAGGCGGGGAUACCCGCUGAACUUAAGCAUAUCAAUAAGCGGAGGA